UUUACGGAGAGUUUGAUCCUGGCUCAGGAUGAACGCUGGCGGCGUGCUUAACACAUGCAAGUCGAACGGUGAAGCCCAGCUUGCUGGGUGGAUCAGUGGCGAACGGGUGAGUAACACGUGAGCAAUCUGCCCCUGACUCUGGGAUAAGCGCUGGAAACGGCGUCUAAUACCGGAUAUGAGCUGCGGCCGCAUGGUCGGCAGUUGGAAAGAUUUUUCGGUCAGGGAUGAGCUCGCGGCCUAUCAGCUUGUUGGUGAGGUAAUGGCUCACCAAGGCGUCGACGGGUAGCCGGCCUGAGAGGGUGACCGGCCACACUGGGACUGAGACACGGCCCAGACUCCUACGGGAGGCAGCAGUGGGGAAUAUUGCACAAUGGGCGGAAGCCUGAUGCAGCAACGCCGCGUGAGGGAUGACGGCCUUCGGGUUGUAAACCUCUUUUAGCAGGGAAGAAGCGAAAGUGACGGUACCUGCAGAAAAAGCGCCGGCUAACUACGUGCCAGCAGCCGCGGUAAUACGUAGGGCGCAAGCGUUAUCCGGAAUUAUUGGGCGUAAAGAGCUCGUAGGCGGUCUGUCGCGUCUGCUGUGAAAUCCCGAGGCUCAACCUCGGGUCUGCAGUGGGUACGGGCAGACUAGAGUGCGGUAGGGGAGAUUGGAAUUCCUGGUGUAGCGGUGGAAUGCGCAGAUAUCAGGAGGAACACCGAUGGCGAAGGCAGAUCUCUGGGCCGUAACUGACGCUGAGGAGCGAAAGGGUGGGGAGCAAACAGGCUUAGAUACCCUGGUAGUCCACCCCGUAAACGUUGGGAACUAGUUGUGGGGUCCAUUCCACGGAUUCCGUGACGCAGCUAACGCAUUAAGUUCCCCGCCUGGGGAGUACGGCCGCAAGGCUAAAACUCAAAGGAAUUGACGGGGACCCGCACAAGCGGCGGAGCAUGCGGAUUAAUUCGAUGCAACGCGAAGAACCUUACCAAGGCUUGACAUAUAGAGGAAACGUCUGGAAACAGUCGCCCCGCAAGGUCUCUAUACAGGUGGUGCAUGGUUGUCGUCAGCUCGUGUCGUGAGAUGUUGGGUUAAGUCCCGCAACGAGCGCAACCCUCGUUCUAUGUUGCCAGCACGUAAUGGUGGGAACUCAUGGGAUACUGCCGGGGUCAACUCGGAGGAAGGUGGGGAUGACGUCAAAUCAUCAUGCCCCUUAUGUCUUGGGCUUCACGCAUGCUACAAUGGCCGGUACAAAGGGCUGCAAUACCGUGAGGUGGAGCGAAUCCCAAAAAGCCGGUCCCAGUUCGGAUUGAGGUCUGCAACUCGACCUCAUGAAGUCGGAGUCGCUAGUAAUCGCAGAUCAGCAACGCUGCGGUGAAUACGUUCCCGGGUCUUGUACACACCGCCCGUCAAGUCAUGAAAGUCGGUAACACCUGAAGCCGGUGGCCCAACCCUUGUGGAGGGAGCCGUCGAAGGUGGGAUCGGUAAUUAGGACUAAGUCGUAACAAGGUAGCCGUACCGGAAGGUGCGGCUGGAUCACCUCCUUUCUAAGGA
rnacentral:rRNA from 1 species